UCAGAACAGUGUAUGAAGAAUACUGCCAAGUUGCAGAUAAUUUUGACAAAUAUGUAGCAAAGGUUUUUCUGCAAUGCUGCUACAUUAGAUUACAUGUAGACCAGUAGAUUACAAGUAGACCAGGAAAUUCAAAAUUAGCUGCUAACAAUACAAACAUGCAAUCUUGAAACUUCUUUUCAUAUUUUUUUUCAGCUAUGAACUUGAACCAGUGUGAGCCUUCUUCCUGAAGUCACUUACAAGUCAUUUUGACAUUUCCAGUACUUUCUAAGGAGGUGUUGGAACUGCAGAAUAAAGAUAUAUGCAACUUUU